CCUACGGGUGGCUGCAGUCGAGAAUCUUCCGCAAUGCACGAAAGUGUGACGGAGCGACGCCGCGUGGUUGAUGAAGUCCUUCGGGGCGUAAAGACCUUUUAUGUGGGAAGAAGUUUUGACGGUACCACAUGAAUAAGAGGCUGCUAAUCUCGUGCCAGCAGCAGCGGUAACACGAGAGCCUCAAGCGUUAUCCGGAAUUAUUGGGCGUAAAGGGUGUGUAGGCGGUUGCAUUAGUCUCAUGUCAAAGCCUCUGGCUUAACCAGAGAUCCGCAUGGGAAACGGUGCAACUAGGAGGGUGCGAGAGGUGAAUGGAACUCACGGUGUAGGGGUGAAAUCCGUUGAUAUCGUGGGGAACGCCAAAAGCGAAGGCAAUUCACUGGCGCAUACCUGACGCUGAGACACGAAAGCCAGGGUAUCGAAUGGGAUUAGAUACCCUUGUA
rnacentral:rRNA from 1 species